rnacentral:misc_RNA from 1 species
GGUCAAAAAACCGGACGGGGCGCCGCGGCCAUCGGGCGGAGAAC